UCCGUGCCCAGGGACGGCUCCCCCGGCCGCGGGGAGGGGACACGGCAGCUCCAGGCUGUUCCCAAAUCCACCUCCAGCAGCGCCUGGGGGGCCUGGCAGGUCUGAAGGUGUCGGCUGUGAGCGUCCUGCAGCCAAGCAGAGCCGCGUUCCUUGGGCGUUUAUGAGGUGAAGGGAGAAUGGAUCAGAAGAGCAUCUGGAUCAUGGGCAGGAUGAACGGCUGAGCUUGGAAAAGCAGGGGGAAGAGAGAGGGAUGAACUCGAGGGAUGGAAGUGGUUGGUGAAUACAGACAGCACCAGCCAGCAGUGGUGAUGGGUUACAAGCAGACACAUCCUCAUUCCAAAUCCAGAUGUGGGCCUGUGACGUUGGGAUGUAAAGUGGCAAGCGAGAGAUGGGAAACCUCCACCCCAGAGCUGCUCUCGAGGGUCAUGGAAGAAUUGACAAAUCAUGCCCAGGAAAAUGUAGCCAGGGAUCUUGAGAGUGGAGGGGAACAGGUAAGAGGUGCUUGAAGUCUGAUUUUAAAGUUGAUCUCAGUCCCACAGGAAGGUGGCCAGGGCAGAUGUCCGGCACAAGAAAUGGAAUGACUUUGGUUUAGGAUCCAGCUCUCUCAGAAG